rnacentral:lncRNA from 1 species
CUUAAUGGACAAAAUAGGAUGUUGACAAGGCUCUUGAGACCCAACCUGGGCCGCCCCAUCACUGAGGAAAAAUAAUCUGCAUCUGAGGAACACGAAACUGCUGGAAACCCCUUGGCAUGUAGAAGGUGUCUGGUCUGGAAGCUCAGGCAGAAGCGUGGUGUCAGGCAAUUCACAAACAGGUUGGGGAAAGCUUUGUCAGUAUGCUCUUUUCUCUCCACAACAUAGUCCCGGGCAAGUUAUAAUCUUUCAGUGAAUAACAUGAGACUGAAUAAAUAGAUACAUACUUACGUGCUUAUAAAUACA